AGAAUAUUUCUUCUUCAGAUAUGUAAAACAUGAGAAAGAAGUAAAAUGUUUCCCCAAAAACAACUCAUUUUUACUCAACUAUGGAUGUGCAAAUUUCAGAGGACAAUGGUGCUAGAAGAGUAGAAUCGUCUGCAGUAGGACAAGUUAGUACAUCUGAAGCUGAUAGAACCCAAGAACCAUAUGACGGUAUGACAUUUGAUUCUGAAGAAGCUGUCAGAGCAUACUACGAUGAGUAUGCUGGACGUGCAGGAUUUAUAACCCGUGUUCUGUCAUCUCGCAAGUCAGAGCGUGAUGGUUCAAUUAUAUCACGUGGACUUGGUUGUAGAGGGGUACCAGAUAAUCAAAGGUCAGGAAGUUUUACAAAUCAAAAGCGAGAUAGACGACGUGAUGGUUGUACGGCGAUGAUCCUAGUCAAAAGAGAGAAGCCUGGUAUGUGGGUGGUCAGAAAAUUUGUUAGGGACCACAAUCACCCCUUGGUUAUUUCACCUUCCAAGAGACGUCCAACUUUCGAUGAGAAAGAUAAAAGAAUUCAGGAAUUAACAGCAGAACUUCGGAUCAAGAAACGACUAAGUGCAGCAUACCGAGAACAGCUCCUUAGUCUCAUGAAAGACGUGGAUAGCCAUAGUGAACAUAUGUGUACAAAAGUUCAAGCUGUUCGUAGAAUUCUUAAAGAACUUGAAGCUAAAAGAAAGGAGCUUUCAAAUCAUAGUAGACACCAUAAGUAGGAACAUCUAUCUGUUAAGUGGGAAGAUCGGUUAAGUCAUUAGCAUUGUAAACCCUCAGAAUUUCUGGUGGUAUACAUAAGGGCGUCAAUCUCUUUCAAGACAACGCAAAACUAAGCUCUUUAUCCUUUUUAUUAAAAUUGGCGUGGUUCAAAUCUUUAAGAGAGAUUAAUGCAAAAUUAAGCUCUCAAUCAAAAGAAGACAGAAAUUUCAACUUCGCGGCCAACGGAUAGAGGGUUGCCCAACUGCUGCCAUUCCCAAAAUCAGAACCUCCCAAAAAUCUAGCACUAGUGUUGCCACUUAGAAUUUUGUACCCCUUUUGAAGGAGAUUAUGAUGGAACUGGUUAAAGCCAAAGGUGGUGUAACUGAAGUCAUGAGUUGAAAGCUGAUAUAAGUUUGUGCUUUUUACUGGGCAGCGGCUUCUAAGUUCUAACGAAGAGGAUGGGUGCAGCCACUAAGCAAUUCAAGAGAGAGGAAGAUUUUGUCAAAGAAAUUUUCGUAACUUUUUUUUGCGUAGAUUGAUGUGGGAAUCUCUAGAUUGAACCCCUGGUACAUGAUUUCUGUUUUUAGUCUUACAAUUUAUUACACGCACGAAUGAGAAGCCUGUUCAGAAGUUGUACUACCAUAUGUUUUAUAUUAGGAUGAUUAGAAGGGUUGGUUCUUGAUUAUAUAUGCACCUUACUGAAGUUGGUAUUUCUUGAUUUCU